AUCACUGAGCGUAAAGCGUGGCGUAGGCGGCGCAGUAAGUCAGAUGUGAAAGCCCUCGGCUCAACCGAGGAACUGCGUUUGAAACUGCUGUGCUAGAGUCUCGGAGAGGUUGGCGGAAUUCCUGGUGUAGGAGUGAAAUCCGUAGAUAUCUGGAGGAACACCGGUGGCGAAGGCGGCCCACUGGACGAGUACUGACGCUGAGGUACGAAAGCGUGGGGAGCAAACAGGAUUAGAUACCCUGGUAGUCCACGCCGUAAACGAUGGAUAUUAGGUGUCGGGGGUUUUGCUUCGGUGCCGGAGUGAAAUCCUUAAAUUACCCGCCCGGGGGAGACGGUCGCGACGCUGAAACUCAAAGGAAUUGACGG
rnacentral:rRNA from 1 species